GACGAACGCUGGCGGCGUGCCUAAUACAUGCAAGUUGAGCGCUGAAGGUUGGUACUUGUACCAACUGGAUGAGCAGCGAACGGGUGAGUAACGCGUGGGGAAUCUGCCUUUGAGCGGGGGACAACAUUUGGAAACGAAUGCUAAUACCGCAUAAAAACUUUAAACACAAGUUUUAAGUUUGAAAGAUGCAAUUGCAUCACUCAAAGAUGAUCCCGCGUUGUAUUAGCUAGUUGGUGAGGUAAAGGCUCACCCAGGCGAUGAUACAUAGCCGACCUGAGAGGGUGAUCGGCCACAUUGGGACUGAGACACGGCCCAAACUCCUACGGGAGGCAGCAGUAGGGGAGCUUCGGCGAUGGAUGAAAGUCUGACCGAGCAACGCCGCGUGAGUGCAGAAGGUCUUCGGAUCGUAAAACUCUGUUGGUAGAGAAGAACGUUGGUGAGAGUGGAAAGCUCAUCAAGUGACGGUAACUACACAGAAAGGGACGGCUAACUACGUG
rnacentral:rRNA from 1 species